CCUACGGGCGGCAGCAGUGGGGAAUAUUGGACAAUGUGGGGAACCCUGAUCCAGCGACGCCGCGUGAGUGAAGAAGUAUUUCGGUAUGUAAAGCUCUAUCAGCAGGGAAGAAAGAAAUGACGGUACCUGACUAAGAAGCCCCGGCUAACUAAGUGCCAGCAGCCGCGGUAAUACGCAGGGGGCAAGCGUUAUCCGGAUUUACUGGGUGUAAAGGGUGCGUAGACGGCGAUGCAAGUCUGAAGUGAAAGGCGGGGGCCCAACCCCCGGACUGCCUUGGAAACUGUCAGGCUGGAGUGCAGGAGAGGUAAGUGGAAUUCCUGGUGUAGCGGUGAAAUGCGUAGAUAUUAGGAGGAACACCAAUUGCGAAGGCAGCUUACUGGACUCUAACUGACGUUGAGGCUCGAAAGCGUGGGGAGCAAACAGGAUUAGAUACCCGGGUAGUC
rnacentral:rRNA from 1 species